UGUCCUACGGGGCGCAGCAGUAGGGAAUCUUCCACAAUGGACGAAAGUCUGAUGGAGCAACGCCGCGUGAGUGAAGAAGGGUUUCGGCUCGUAAAGCUCUGGUGGUAGUGAAGAAAGAUAGAGGGAGUAACUGGACGUUUUUUGGCGGUAAUUACUUAGAAAGUCACGGCUAACUACGUGCCAGCAGCCGCGGUAAUACGUAGGUGGCAAGCGUUGUCCGGAUUUAUUGGGCGUAAAGCGAGUGGCGGCG
rnacentral:rRNA from 1 species